rnacentral:rRNA from 1 species
CACGUAGGGGGCGAGCGUUAUCCGGAAUCAUUGGGCGUAAAGGGUGCGUAGGCGGCCUUUUAAGCGGGGGUCUAAGGCGGUGGCCCAACCACCGUUCGCCCCGCGAACUGGAGGGCUAGAGUGUCGGAGAGGGAAGCGGAAUUCCUAGUGUAGCGGUGAAAUGCGUAGAUAUUAGGAGGAACACCAGUGGCGAAGGCGGCUUCCUGGACGAAGACUGACGCUGAGGCACGAAAGCGUGGGGAGCGAACAGG